ensembl:lncRNA
CCACGAUGUUUUCUCAAGGACAUGUUUAAGAAGGUGUGACAACCAUCUGUUGCAUGUUUAGCAUUUCAUGCAUUACAAAUACACACAUGUAAAGCAUCACUGAGGCAAAUAAGCGGAGGUGCUUAGUAUUUCCCUCCUAUAAUCAGCUCAAACAGGGUUGUCGGAAUUCUUGAAUGACAAUUUGUCAAAGCCGGAUCAGUCCAUUUGGAAAGGUGUGGUGUGUCACAUAUAUGUCACCACCCAUCUCUGCAACGAGAGAGCAAAAUCCCCACCACCACCUCAAAAAAUAUAUAUAAAAACGAUUUACAAAACAAGCCCUCCCUUUAUUUCCGUUCAAAGAUCGCAAAAGCGACCGAAGCACAGCUAAAACACCACAGCGUAUAAAUCCGUCGUGCAAAGUGGUACAAUCAAGACGAGCCUGGGCUGCAAGGGGGCAUAGUCACUUUUUCACGACUGAGGGAAACACAACGCCGGGAAGGGAAAAACCUAUCAAAACAACUGACAGUCUGGGUUUUAUGUUUCCCCAAGUGUCUGCGAAAUGUCUACGAAGGCAGAGCAGUGUAAGUACGGCUGUGUGUAUCCGUGCGUGCGUGUUUCUGUUUUGUCUUGUGAGGGGGCUGGAAACUGAUUUUUUUUUUUUUUUUUUUUUUUUUGGUUUAACCAAGAAAGCGAACAAGGGGAGCUGUCCUUGGUGAUGAAACCGCGGUUGCCAAGGCAGGUUGCAACACGUCCUCUCACUGCAGAGGAUGGCUGGAGGUCUCAGUGCACACAGAGAGCCACUGAAUCACCCUCUGUUUCUCUGCAUGUUGAUGGAACAAUUCCAUGUCCGAAUCGCUCUGUGGUCCGAUUUAUUUAUUUCUAUUUUAUUUGAUUUUGAUUGACGUGGCUGGCUGAGGCGCGUGGGAAAAGCGAAGUGUAAUGUUGGUCUCAAGGUCGACCUGACAGGCUACUGAACAAUAUGGUGGCUUCAUAUUGAUCAAUCGUGGGGUCUGAUCACACUAUAUUGACGUCUGUUGUUCAUUCCACUUCGCUGGUUGUGAACAGGUGGACACCAGCCGCUGUCUUCUGUUUUUUUAUAUUUUUUAUUUUUUUACCGUAAACAAUAGAUAAAAGACGGGGUCAAACUCAGUGUUAGGGGUUCCCAGCCCCAUCAGCUGGUUAAAAGUUGGGUGUUGCUCCUGUUGUUUGGUAGACAGUAAGUGAGGGAAUGAACAGAAAACGCUGAAUCUGCUGUUGUGACUAACAGCUCGAAAUAUUAUUAAAAGGUUGAAAAAUAUUUUUUAAAAAAGUCCUAUCUUUCCGAGGAGGUUUAAUUUUAUGAUGAACCGGAAAGAUGCUGUGCUUCAGUAUUUAUCGCAGCACAUGCUUUGACCAGACAAUCCUCCAAGCCUGCAGCUGUUAUUUUUAUUUUGGGGUUUGUCAUUUACAGGUCAGGAAGGAAGCUAAACAUUCCUGCCUAAAGUCACAGAAAAUGGGUCAGCGAUCACCCACUUCAACAUAUUUGAACUCCUAACAACAAACAGCACAGUCAUAUCUGAACCUACAGAGAUUACUUCAAUAUAGUGCAGCCAGCUGGGCUCAUUACAGAAAUGUUCCUCUGUGUUGCUUCUUAAGCCCCCUUUCGUGUUCGCUAUAACCACAUUUUCCCAGCUUGUCUUGGGACUUGAACUGGCAACCUUUCGUGUGUGAGCUUGUUUCUGUAAGCAGUAGGUUACUGCCUCCUCUAGGGCUUCCUGUGACCUGCUGCUAUGACAAAAAAGGUCACCCGGUGAAGGCCAGAGAACCAUGGGAAAACAGACUUUUUGUUUAACUUCAUAGCUGA